UUAAACUAAGAAUAUAUAGGGUAGAGUUUUAUAUUCAAAAAUUAAUAUAAGAUGAAGAUAUAAAUAAAUAUUUAUAAAUUAGACUUUUUAGUGGCCAUAUUAUUAAAGUAUUUUAACUAUUAAAAUAAAAAAAGUUUUAUUUUUAUUCUCUUUUUUUUUAGUAGAAUAUAUUUUAUAUCAAAAAUAAAUUAGAAAUAAUGAAAAUAUUAGUAGAAAAAAAAUAUUAUUUGUAUAAAUAUAAAUUAAUAAAUAAAAUUUAAUAGAAGGGAAAGAAAAAUUAAAGGAACUCGGCAAUUUUUUUUCUUGCCUGUUUAACAAAAACAUGUCUGUAUGAAGUUAUAUAAAGUCUGGCCUGCCCAUUGAAUAAAUUUAAAAGGCCGCGGUAUAUUAACUGUGCAAAGGUAGCAUAAUCAUUAGCUUUUUAAUUGAAGGCUUGUAUGAAUGGUUGGACAAAGUAAAGGCUGUCUUUAAUUUUAUUUUUUGAAUUUAACUUUUAAGUGAAAAGGCUUAAAUGAAUUUAAGGGACGAUAAGACCCUAUAAAUCUUUAUAUUAAAUUGUUAUUUUGAAAUUUAAUGGUUUGUUUAAAUAAAUAAGAAAACAAAAAAUAUUUUGUUGGGGUGAUGAGAAUAUAUAAAUAACUGUUCUUAUUUUAUACAAAGUUAUUUGUUUAAGAUUAGUAGAUCCUUUAUUUAAGAUUAAAAGUUUAAGUUACUUUAGGGAUAACAGCGUUAUUUUUUUUGAGAGUUCUUAUCGAAAAAAAAGUUUGCGACCUCGAUGUUGAAUUAAAAUUUCUCUACGGUGUAGAAGUUGUAGAAGAGAGUCUGUUCGACUUUUGAAGUUUU
rnacentral:rRNA from 1 species